rnacentral:rRNA from 1 species
AUGAUCUCCCCAGUAGUUCAUAUAGGAGCUAUUGCCGUUUCAUUCCUAUUCGUGGUUAUGAUGUUCAAUAUUCAAAUAGCGGAGAUUCACGAAGAAGUAUUGCGCUAUUUACUAGUGAGUGGUAUUAUUGGACUGAUCUUUUGGUGGGAAAUGUUCUUAAUUUUAGAUAAUGAAACCAUUCCAUUACUACCAACCCACAGAAAUACGACCUCUCUGAGAUAUACGGUUUAUGCCGGAAAGGUACGAAGUUGGACUAAUUUGGAAACAUUGGGCAAUUUACUUUAUACCUACUAUUCCGUCUGGUUUUUGGUUUCUAGUCUGAUUUUAUUAGUUGCUAUGAUUGGGGCUAUAGUACUUACUAUGCAUAGGACUACAAAGGUGAAAAGACAGGAUGUAUUCCGACGAAAUGCCUUGGAUUCUAGGAGCCAUAUAAUGAACAGGACUAUUUCUCCUUUUGGCCAUAGCCAUAGAAGAAGCUUCUCUUCCGGAGCGGGGGGACCGCCUGACAAUUACAAAGAAACCUUUAAAAUGUGGAUUUUGUGCUCAGAAUAUAAGGAUUUCCCUGGCUUAAAAUGCAAGAUAGACAGACUUCUUGCAUUCCUUGAGCCUGGGGAGAUCCUAUUCAUGGUAAACACGUUCCCCCGGGACUUUCCUCUGCUCGAGAUCUUAGAACCCCAGGAUAUCCAAAAUAUAAUUGCUCACUCGCACAAGCAGUGGAAGCCACCCAAAAAGGGAGGCUAG